UAUAAUGUAGCUCAUAUAAUUAUAGCAGCAUUUUCUGCAUUACAAGUUUUUACUAUUUCUCAUUCAAUGAUAAGAUCGAGAAAAUUUUCACUUGGAACCACAAAAUAACUGCUGUGUCCUUUUCAAAGUCAAAGAUUCAUCCAAACACAACUGUGACUCCUUCAGGAUAAGAAUGCUGUAUAGCUUCUAAUAAGAUGGAGUUCUGAUUCUAUUUUAUAACUUAAUUUCACAGUCAAAAAUAGCAUAAAAAGAGGCCUCCUGUAAAAAUGAAUCCUUAUCUGAUCGUACAAAGUUGUAAAUUUUAUGCCCAAGUGACACUGAACUGCAUCCAUUACAUGAUAUUGUAACUCCAGUAGAUGUCCAUGUACCCAAACUCCGUUCACUGAAAAACUAGACUUCCUAAAGAACUGCACUGGGAAGGAAAUUCCCAGUAGGGGUUCCUUUGUGAGAUGAACUUUUUUGCAAAGACUUAUUUCAUCAUGGUAGCCAAAACCCAGGAAGAUAAUGUAGAGAAACACAGUGGAGUACAAAUCUAACUCAAGUAAUCAAGAUAGACAUCUGUGUGCAGCUAUAAAUGCAACAUGGCUUAAGGGACCAGUGGUAGGAACCUGUGCCUAAAAGCAGCUCCCAGACCCUAGAUGACUAUGAUGAUGCCUAUGAUUUUAUGAUUCUAUGACUGCUCAUAAUUCUUUCUCAUACAAGUUUGUUCACUGUUGCACUGUAUCAGAGCUGGCCUUGAACACACAUGAACAGACUCCUGGCUGGGAGAAAGAAGCUGCACUCGGCUGAUGCCUGCGAUUCCAGGUAAGAAAAUAAAAAGGAACAGGAAAAAAAAAAGAGAGAAAGGAGGGAAGAAAAGGGGAAGGAAGAGAACAUCUGUGGAAAAAGAGAGGAAAAGGGCCUCAGAUUCUGGAUUCCAAAAAACUGCACUGGAGAAGCUUGUUUUGGAAAGCUGAAAAUAUUAUUGUACACACUGCUUCGGAGGCCCAUGGUGUACCAUAUAUACAAGAGAAGGUGCUACAGGGUUAUUGCAAAGGAAAGAGACAUGAUGUAAGUGACCACUGGAGAUGGCUGGAGAGAGUUAAUGAAUGUUCUGAAGUGGAGGAUCAAGAUUAAGACAUUUUGGGAGACAUUGUCCUGCUUGGUCACUAAGAACAUAAGGCUGCACUCCAAAGACAGGCCUCCUCCUUUGCUAAAAGCUCUCUUUGUGUGCUCAAAUUGAAGAAUGAGAAUGUACAAGAUGGAAGAUCAGCAUGGAGGACAUCUUUUGCAGCGCUGAAUCAGAGGUGGGAGAUAUACUCUACCCGAGAAAAGUUUCUCUCAUGGAGGACAGAAGUGUUGGUGAAUGUAGGGUGUGUUUGAGAUUUUAAAGGGGAGAUGGGCUAUCUGUUGCUGUGUGUAAAACUGGAGGAAGAAAAUAUGUCCCAGCUCAGACUAUGCUCAAUAGAGGGAGAGACCAGUUCCCAGUUCCCAGCUAGGUCCAGCCUAUUAUUUCCAUUUAUUAAUUAGGUGAAUAAUAUCCUAUUAUUAGGUCCAGCAGAAUUAUUUAGGCUGGCACCCAGUGCAGGAUAUUAGAGAGCAGUUAAAUCCUCUCAGAGAGCUUCGGUAAAAGGCAAUCUAUAAAAACAAAUCUUACAUUUGGUCAUCAUUAAUACGCUGGAAAAUAAAUGAAGGUAUAACUAUGCUCUGCAAUUUUUAUUUCAUUUAUGAAGACUGUGCCACAUGGCAUACAUGCUCUGUCUGUGCUGUUAAGCACAUGAUGUGAGAAAUGGUGGUGUGAGGACUUAGAAUGGAAGAAGAAAGACAUAGUCCAUGCUGAAGCAAAGCAGAAAAUAUUUUAGCUUUAUUUUAUGAAUUCAUACAUUUCUUAGAGGUCUGCAUGGAGCUUUCAUAGAGGUUGAUUUAGAGAUCAGGCCUAGUGACAAGUCCCAGGUUAAUUCUGUAGCAGCUGCCAAAUCCCUCAGUAAGGCACACUGUACAACAAUGGCUACUCUAGUCUCUAAAGAAAUAUUUUAGUAAUGUUUCUGGAGUGGCUAGUGUAGUGUACAGUGAAAAUGCCUGUGCCUCUGCCAGUAUGGAGCCAAACAAGACUUACCUAAGCCUGGGUUACCCUAGAACUGAUCUUCUUACCAAACUCCCAAAUAAAAUGCAAAAUAUUACAAAUUCCUCUUUCCUUACUUUUUAAAAAUUCAAUGAAAUUUUUAGAAGAGAGGGGAAAAUUAUAAGUGAAGGGAAAAUGUUGCAUGAUUCCUUAGCUAGACACCUGGAAAUCAGUCAGCCCUUGAGACAAUCUUGGAAUAGAUAUGUGAUUCCUUGAUCUUCUUUAUCAACAAG
ensembl:lncRNA